rnacentral:rRNA from 1 species
UACGUAGGGAGCAAGCGUUGUCCGGAAUCAUUGGGCGUAAAGCGCGCGUAGGCGGCCCUGUAAGUCCGCUGUGAAAGUCAAAGGCUCAACCUUUGAAUGCCGGUGGAUACUGCAGGGCUAGAGUCCGGAAGAGGCGAGUGGAAUUCCUGGUGUAGCGGUGGAAUGCGCAGAUAUCAGGAGGAACACCAACGGCGAAGGCAGCUCGCUGGGACGGUACUGACGCUAAGGCGCGAAAGCUAGGGGAGCAAACGGG